GUUGAGCAUGAAUGAUUGAGGGUGAGAGAGAGGGUUGAGGUUGAGGACGCGAUUGAGAGGGAGCGAUUGAGGGACGAAUAGAGGCGUGAGGUUGAGGACGAGCGAAUGAUGGAGAGAUUGAGAGAGCGUUGUGAGAUUGAGGAUGCGAUUGGGAGAUUGAGAGAGCAUUGUGAGAGCUAGUACGAUGAGGGAGUAACGAUGGAGAGUCUGUUGCUCC
rnacentral:lncRNA from 1 species